rnacentral:rRNA from 1 species
GACGAACGCUGGCGGCGUGCUUAACACAUGCAAGUCGAACGGUAAGGCCCUUCGGGGUACACGAGUGGCGAACGGGUGAGUAACACGUGGGUGAUCUGCCCUGCACUUCGGGACAAGCCUGGGAAACUGGGUCUAAUACCGGACAGGACCACUGCCUGCAUGGGUGGUGGUGGGAGGCUUUUGCGGUGUGGGAUGGGCCCGCGGCCUAUCAGCUUGUUGGUGGGGUAAUGGCCCACCAGGGCGACGAUCAGUAGCUGGUCGGGGAGCGAUGAUCAGCCACAUUGGGACUGAGACACGGCCCAAACUCCUACGGGAGGCAGCAGUGGGGAAUAUUGGACAAUGGGCGCAAGCCUGAUCCAGCCAUGCCGCGUGAGUGAUGAAGGCCUUAGGGUUGUAAAGCUCUUUCGUCCGGGACGAUAAUGACGGUACCGGAAGAAGAAGCCCCGGCUAACUUCGUGCCAGCAGCCGCCGUAA